UAACUGAAGAGUUUGAUCAUGGCUCAGAUUGAACGCUGGCGGCAGGCUUAACACAUGCAAGUCGAGCGGGGGAAGGUAGCUUGCUAUUGGACCUAGCGGCGGACGGGUGAGUAAUGCUUAGGAAUCUGCCUAUUAGUGGGGG
rnacentral:rRNA from 1 species